rnacentral:rRNA from 1 species
AGUGAACGCUGGCGGUAGGCCUAACACAUGCAAGUCGAACGGCAGCACAGUAAGAGCUUGCUCUUACGGGUGGCGAGUGGCGGACGGGUGAGGAAUACAUCGGAAUCUACUUUUUCGUGGGGGAUAACGUAGGGAAACUUACGCUAAUACCGCAUACGACCUACGGGUGAAAGCAGGGGAUCUUCGGACCUUGCGCGAUUGAGUGAGCCGAUGUCGGAUUAGCUAGUUGGCGGGGUAAAGGCCCACCAAGGCGACGAUCCGUAGCUGGUCUGAGAGGAUGAUCAGCCACACUGGAACUGAGACACGGUCCAGACUCCUACGGGAGGCAGCAGUGGGGAAUAUUGGACAAUGGGCGCAAGCCUGAUCCAGCCAUACCGCGUGGGUGAAGAAGGCCUUCGGGUUGUAAAGCCCUUUUGUUGGGAAAGAAAAGCAGCAGGUUAAUACCCCGCUGUUCUGACGGUUCCCAAAGAAUAAGCACCGGCUAACUUCGUG